ensembl:lncRNA novel transcript
AAGAGCAACCCUGAAAAAUUACUGAAUGUGAAGAAAUGGACACCGAGCUGGGGCAGCAGUGGACUUGGGGCAUGAGCAGGUUGAUGUCAGAAAAUACACCAAUAACCUCGGGAUUGUGCAUGAGAUGGAGCUGCCCCGCGUCAGUGCCCUGGAGGUGAAGGUAAGAGCCUGUGCCUGCUGCGUGGGAGGCUGCUUCAGGGACUGGGAAUCGGGUGAUCGGUAAGGCAGAGGGGGUGGCCUGUGGGCCUGUGUGGUGGUGAGUGGGCCACGGCUGUCACUGGGAGGGGUGGCCUUUCCUGCUGGACUCUGUUCCCAUGAGGGCUUGACCAAAACCCAAACCAAGAACUGUAGUCCUGGCUCAGAGUCCACUGCCUGUUUGAACCAAGACCCCAGCUGAAGGCUGGACCUGACCAAAACUUGGGGCCUCUAUGGCCUGAGGAUGGCAUGUCCUGGCAUCACCAGUCCAGACUACCA